GAUGUACUCCCUUCGUCUGAAAAUACUUGUCAUCAAAAUGGAUAAAAGGAGAUGUAUCUAGACGUCUUUUAGUUUUAGAUACAUCCAUUUUUAUCCAUUUUGAUGACAAGUAUUUUCGGACGGAGGGAGUACUAG
rnacentral:pre_miRNA from 1 species